rnacentral:rRNA from 1 species
AUUGAACGCUGGCGGCAGGCUUAACACAUGCAAGUCGAGCGAGCGGCGGACGGGUGAGUAAUGUCUGGGAAACUGCCUGAUGGAGGGGGAUAACUACUGGAAACGGUAGCUAAUACCGCAUACCAUCAGAUGUGCCCAGGUGGGAUUAGCUAGUGGGUGGGGUAAUGGCUCACCUAGGCGACGAUCCCUAGCUGGUCUGAGAGGAUGACCAGCCACACUGGAACUGAGACACGGUCCAGACUCCUACGGGAGGCAGGAGUGGGGAAUAUUGCAAAAGGGGGGCAGGCCUGAGACAGCCAGGCCGCGGGUGUGAAGAAGGCCUUCGGGUGGUAAAGCACGUUCAGCGAGGAGGCGUUACUCGCAGAAGAAGCACCGGCUAACUCCGUGCCAGCAGCCGCGGUAAUAC